rnacentral:rRNA from 1 species
UACGUAGGUGGCAAGCGUUGUCCGGAUUUAUUGGGUUUAAAGGGUGCGUAGGCGGCUUUUUAAGUCAGUGGUGAAAGCCGGUCGCUUAACGAUCGAACUGCCAUUGAUACUGAGAGGCUUGAGUAUAGUUGAGGUAGGCGGAAUUGACAGUGUAGCGGUGAAAUGCGUAGAUAUUGUCAAGAACACCGAUUGCGAAGGCAGCUUACUAGAGUAUAACUGACGCUGAGGCACGAGAGUGCGGGGAGCAAACAGG